CAACCAUCCAGAGCGGCUGAGUGACUUGGCACGAUGACGCCGCAGCAACCCCCCGGUGACGGGCGAGGGUGCUACCGCCACGACCGAUGGAGG
rnacentral:ncRNA from 2 species